GAGGCGAGCGGCGUCCUCCGUGGGGGGCCUGCAAAAAGCCGGUGGCCGGGCUUUUCCGGCGCCGGCCCUCCGAUGCCUAAGUCAGAGGGGGGCUUAAUUUUGGAGAAGGAGAGGGGGACUGUAUGUGAAGUCCGAAAAAUUUCCUUGGGAGGAAGAAGCCUCCAGCCCCCUUUUUAGAGGGAGAAGCUCCCCUUUUAUAGGAAGAGUGGCAGGG
rnacentral:lncRNA from 1 species